rnacentral:rRNA from 1 species
CCUACGGGAGGCAGCAGUGGGGAAUAUUGGACAAUGGGCGCAAGCCUGAUCCAGCCAUGCCGCGUGGGUGAUGAAGGCCCUAGGGUUGUAAAGCCCUUUCGGCGGGGAAGAUAAUGACGGUACCCGCAGAAGAAGCCCCGGCUAACUUCGUGCCAGCAGCCGCGGUAAUACGAAGGGGGCUAGCGUUGCUCGGAAUCACUGGGCGUAAAGCGCACGUAGGCGGAUUGCUAAGUCAGGGGUGAAAUCCUGGAGCUCAACUCCAGAACUGCCUUUGAUACUGGCGACCUUGAGUCCGGGAGAGGUGAGUGGAACUGCGAGUGUAGAGGUGAAAUUCGUAGAUAUUCGCAAGAACACCAGUGGCGAAGGCGGCUCACUGGCCCGGUACUGACGCUGAGGUGCGAAAGCGUGGGGAGCAAACAGGAUUAGAUACCCCGGUAGUCC